rnacentral:rRNA from 1 species
CUUUCUUUGCUGGCGACCGGCGCACGGGUGAGUAACACGUAUCCAACCUGCCCUUUACUCGGGGAUAGCCUUUCGAAAGAAAGAUUAAUACCCGAUGGCAUAAUGAUUCCGCAUGGUUUCAUUAUUAAAGGAUUCCGGUAAAGGAUGGGGAUGCGUUCCAUUAGGUUGUUGGUGAGGUAACGGCCCACCAAGCCUUCGAUGGAUAGGGGUUCUGAGAGGAAGGUCCCCCACAUUGGAACCGAGACACGGUCCAA